AACUCCUACGGGAGGCAGCAGUAGGGAAUCUUUCACAAUGGGCGAAAGCCUGAUGAAGCAACACCGCGUGAAUGAAGAAGGGUUUCGGCUCGUAAAAUUCUGUUGCUAGAGAAGAACGUACCAAGUAGGAAAUGGCUUGGUAGUGACGGUAUCUGGUUAGAAAGUCACGGCUAACUACGUGCCAGCAGCCGCGGUAAUACGUAGGUGGCAAGCGUUAUCCGGAUUUAUUGGGCGUAAAGCGAGCGCAGGUGGUUUAAUAAGUCUGAUGUAAAAGGCAGUGGCUCAACCAUUGUGUGCAUUGGAAACUGUUAGACUUGAGUGCAGUAGAGGAGAGUGGAAUUCCAUGUGUAGCGGUGAAAUGCG
rnacentral:ncRNA from 2 species